rnacentral:rRNA from 1 species
GGUGAACGCUGGCGGCGUGCCUAACACAUGCAAGUCGAGCGGUGCAGUUUGAAGCUUCGGUGGAAAGCUGCAUAGCGGCGGACGGGUGAGGAAAACGUAGGAACGUGCCCCUUGGAGUUGGAUAGCCACGGGAAACUGUGGGUAAACCGACAUAGACUCGAGAGAGUAAAGGCCGAAAGGCGCCAAGGGAGCGGCCUGCGGCCCAUCAGGUAGUUGGUAGUGUAAAGGACUACCAAGCCGACGACGGGUAGCCGGUCUGAGAGGAUGGCCGGCCACAAGGGCACUGAGAGACGGGCCCUACUCCUACGGGAGGCAGCAGUGGGGGAUUUUGGACAAUGGGCGAAAGCCUGAUCCAGCGACGCCGCGUGGAGGACGAAGCCCUUCGGGGUGUAAACUCCUUUUCUCAGGGAAAAAGGAUGAUGGUACCUGAGGAAUAAGCCCCGGCUAACUACGUGCCAGCAGCCGGGGUAAACACGAGAGUA